rnacentral:rRNA from 1 species
CGGUGAAUACGUUCUCGGGUCUUGUACACUCCGCCCGUCACACCAUGGAAGUGGAUUUGCACCAGAAGUAGAUAGUCUAACCUUUAGGGAGGGCGUUUACCACGGUGUGCUUCAUGACUGGGGUGAAGUCGUAACAAGGUAGCCGUAGGGGAACCUGUGGCUGGAUCACCUCCUU